GACGAACGCUGGCGGCGUGCUUAACACAUGCAAGUCGAACGGAAAGGCCCUUCGGGGUACUCGAGUGGCGAACGGGUGAGUAACACGUGGGUGUUCUGCCCUGCACUUUGGGAUAAGCCUGGGAAACUGGUUCUAAUACCGAAUAGGACCACGCGCUUCAUGGUGUGUGGUGGAAAGCUUUUGCGGUGUGGGAUGGGCCCGCGGCCUAUCAGCUUGUUGGUGGGGUAAUGGCCUACCAAGGCGACGACGGGUAGCCGGCCUGAGAGGGUGACCGGCCACACUGGGACUGAGAUACGGCCCAGACUCCUACGGGAGGCAGCAGUGGGGAAUAUUGCACAAUGGGCGCAAGCCUGAUGCAGCGACGCCGCGUGAGGGAUGACGGCCUUCGGGUUGUAAACCUCUUUCAAUAGGGACGAAGCGCAAGUGACGGUACCUAUAGAAGAAGCACCGGCCAACUACGUG
rnacentral:rRNA from 1 species